GACGUAGGGCGCGAGCGUUGUCCGGAUUUAUUGGGCGUAAAGAGCUCGUAGGCGGCUUGUCGCGUCGACUGUGAAAACCCGCGGCUCAACUGCGGGCCUGCAGCCGAUACGGGCAGGCUAGAGUCCGGAAGAGGAGAGUGGAAUUCCUGGUGUAGCGGUGAAAUGCGCAGAUAUCAGGAAGAACACCCGUGGCUAAGGCGGCUCUCUAGUACGGUACUGACGCUGAGACGCGAAAGCGUGGGAGCAAAGCAGG
rnacentral:rRNA from 1 species